rnacentral:rRNA from 1 species
GAUGAACGCUGGCGGCGUGCCUAAUACAUGCAAGUCGAGCGAACGGACGAGAAGCUUGCUUCUCUGAUGUUAGCGGCGGACGGGUGAGUAACACGUGGAUAACCUACCUAUAAGACUGGGAUAACUUCGGGAAACCGGAGCUAAUACCGGAUGAUAUUUUGAACCGCAUGGUUCAAAAGUGAAAGACGGUCUUGCUGUCACUUAUAGAUGGAUCCGCGCUGCAUUAGCUAGUUGGUAAGGUAACGGCUUACCAAGGCAACGAUGCAUAGCCGACCUGAGAGGGUGAUCGGCCACACUGGAACUGAGACACGGUCCAGACUCCUACGGGAGGCAGCAGUAGGGAAUCUUCCGAAAUGGGCGAAAGCCUGACGGAGCAACGCCGCGUGAGUGAUGAAGGUCUUCGGGUCGUAAAACUCUGUUAUUAGGGAAGAACAUAUGUGUAAGUAACUGUGCACAUCUUGACGGUACCUAAUCAGAAAGCCACGGCUAACUACGUG